GCUUCUAUCUGAAAGGUAAUUGAGAAUAUCAGAAAGGUAAAAUAAUUUCCUUUAGAUAUUCAUGAGAGUGCUUUUUUUUCUCUGAAGAAGAUGUAGUUGUACAUAUAAGAAAAACUUACUUUCACUUCCAGAGAUACAGUCCUUUACUGGGUAAGCAGUAUUUUCUAAUCAAAAUGACACUAAUGGGUCAGAUUUAAUGGUCAGAAAUUUGAAAGCCUAAAUGAAGGACUGUUCUUUCAUAGAAUUGUGUGAGCAAUUUUGAAAGAUAAUGUUGGUGGCGUUUCUAAUUUAUUUUGUGAUGAACUCCUAAAAUGCAUUUAGAUGUGAUUCUAAUAAUGAUACUCUCCUGUUACUAAGGAUCUCCGAAGAAGCUGGUUUUAUGGGAAAAUGCCUGUAUGAAUAAGUCAUCCUGUGAUCUUCUGAAGUGGGUAUUCAGGAGACACGGAAAGGAAAGAAAAGGAAAGAAAAAAUACUCCUACAUUCAUAUGGGGAUUUCAGGUUAAAACAACUCCCUUUCAUUGGUGUUUUCCUUUGGUAUCUCAGAGAGGGCUAUAGACUGGAGGGGAUCAAAUAGACUAGCCCAGACUGGAAAUGUGGGUCUUUGGACCAGUCUGUCCAGCAGGUGAGCAUCUGGAGGCAAGCUUCAACACUUACCACCUCCUCAGGCCUACGUCUUGACUUCCCACCCUACUUCCAUGACAGUUUGGCUCUGCAAGCUGCCAGCUUAUCACUUUUCAGGAACAUACCAAACCAUCUCUCUGUUCGUGCUCAUGGACACGUUCUUCUCUCUGCCCCAUCAACAUUUCACCGGCUACCUUCUGGUCACCCUUUAGAUGUGGAAGAUAUUGGAUACAGAGAGAAAGUGCUCUUGUCUCCUCCCCAGGUAGUUAGAUGUGGUCUCUGAUGGAAUUGGAUUGACCUUGCCUUCUACGUUAUUUGUUUCCCAGCGUUAACUUUAAAUUUCUUAGAGGGCAGAAACUAGCUCUGUAGUUUUGUCUUUAUGAUCUUACAGUGCAUUGUACCUGGUAAGCCCCUCAUAAAUGUUUGUUGGCUAAACAGAUUAAACAGAUAGAUGCAUUUGGUGGUUGAUUGGUACAGUUCAGAGGCUACUCUAAUGAAAAAGGUAUAGAAAAUAGAGAGUUGAGUGGAGUGAUUAAGCAUGUGGGCUUUAGAACCUGACUACCCAGAAUGGAAUAUUGUCUCUACCACUUAAUAACUGUGGGUUCUUGGGAAAGUUAGGUAAACUUUCUUGCCUUAGCUCUAAGGUGAAACCCUUAGCUUAAAGUGUUUAGUAAUAAUACUAGCUUCAUUGGGUUGUUGGAGUGAUAAAAUGAAGUAAUAUAUGUUAAGUGCUUUAGACAGUGCUGAGACCUACUAAGUAACUCAGUACACUUAAAAUUGUUCCAGAUGACAGAUCACGGCAUUUAAUGAACACUCAUGAGGGCCGAUGAAAGUAGAUCCAGGAAAGAGAAGAGCAAGAAGUCCCUUACCUGUGCACACUUGCUUGAAACUCUCAUUUCCCUGAUUAUGCUACUGAACAUAGCAUAUUGAAAUUUUUGUACUAGUAUGUCUCUCCAUUUUAUCCUGAAGAUCAGGGUGAGAAGGUCCAUAUCCUUGUCGAGUACUGCUGCAUCACCAAUGCCAAUGCAUAGAUAUUCGUCAACAAAUAUUUGCAAAUGAUCAACAAGCAGAGCUUGGUGAAAUCAUUUGAUGCUUUUAUGGCCUGUGUUCUAAUAACCUAGACGGUAAGUAACUGAGAGUCUGAAAAAUUCUAAGCUGAAAACAGAUAUUGCAACUACCAUGUCUCUUAACAGGGAUCCCUUGAAAUUCUCUCGUCUUGACGUUUUAAGUGUAAAUGUGCCCUUUACCUAUGUGUGCGAUUAGGGAUGACAUAAGUGGGGAUGGGUCCACCAGAGGUAAAGUCAAGGAAGAGUAGGGGCAAGGCACUGAACCCAGGAGCAAGGUCCUAGUUACAUGAGAAUGACAGUCGUGUCGACUAGAGAGAACCCCAAGUACAUCGGGGGAAGGGUGUACACAUAACCACCACAGCUUCAUAUUUCAUUACAAGAUUAAAGAAAAAAAGAUGAGUGGGUUUAGGGAGAUAAGGCUGUGAGUUAAUAGCUCACUGUUUGGAGAGCCCCAUAUAUAACAGCCCAGGACACAAACUUAUUUGAUGAAUGAUAUCUUCAGGGAAUUUCCAGAAAAAUAAAAGUUUUCCAAUUAGUUUCCUUCA
ensembl:lncRNA